rnacentral:lncRNA from 1 species
GUCACAAAAGCCAUAUAGUAUAUGAUUCCAUUUAUUUGAACUGUCAAGAAUGGGAAAACACACAGAGACAUAAAGCAAAUUCAUGAUUGUAAUGAUUAUUUAGGGAUGGAAGGGCUAGGGGAUUCAGGUUGUGUUUCUUUUUAGGUGAUGAGAAGGUUUUAAAGUUGAUUGUGGUAAUAGUUUCAUGACUGUGAACAUGCUAAAGGGCAUCGAAUUAUAUACUUUAGUAAGUGAACUAUAUGGUACUGAGGCAGGAUAGAUAGUCAAGGAGAUGACCACGUCCUUGGGACAUGGCAACCACACUGUCAACAGCACAAUGAGCCCUGUAACCAUGUUCAUUGGGACAUAGCAACCGCACCAACAACACAACAAACCUCAGCACUCACAUUGUAAUCAAGCUCAUCCAAGCAGAACUACCUUCACUGGGGACUUUCCCCUGUAGAGAGCAUGUGCAUUUUCACUUUGCUUGUCCUCAGAAUGACCCUUUGCUCAUUAUAAUAGUAAAAAACACACCCCUGGGUAGAGAUUUAAGACGGCAAUGAGACAUGCAAUGUAUGAACAAGCAUGUACAGCAACUGCUCAUGUGCACCCAGAGGACCACCCAGAACAUGAUUACUAGGAACACACCUCUUCCCACCCACUAUGAAUAAUCACAUAAGACUCUCAUAAAGGGAGUUCCCUCAGAGCCAGUCUUUGCUGACUCACUCUUGAUCAGCCCACUCUGACUUAUCUUUCAGAGUGUACCUUUCAGAGUGUAUCUUUCAGAGUUUUAUCUUUGCACUAAAUUACUUUCAGCUGUUUCUUUUUACACUCAGCUUUCAGAGUGUUCUUUCUCUUUUGCAAUACAUUGCUUUCUGUUGUUCCUCUAUGGUUGUGUCUCUUGUUAAAAUUAUUUUAACCAAGAAGACAAGAACAGAGGUCUCACAAUCACCGUCAACAGUAUGUAAAUUAUACCUCAGUGAAGCUAUUACCAAAAAAAUUAACCCUGUGUUCCUCUUCCUCCUAAUGCAGUUGUAGCCACUCUCCUGAAUUUUGUCUCUAUUGUCCUAUUGAUUUUUAAAUUUUUUUAUAAACACAUCCCUUAAUAAUAUAUAAAUGUAAUCCUUAACAAUAUACAUUUAGUUUAUAAUUUUUAAAGUUUGUAAAAGUAGAAUCAAACAUCAAGCAUUCCAUAACAAUAUUUUUGGUUCAAUAUUAGGUUUCAUACCCAUGUUGAUUGGCCAUAGCUAUUCAUUCAUUUGCAUGGUACUCCCAUGUGGCAAAUGGGAAUGUGCCACAGUUUACUUAUCCUGACUCCUGUCAACAAUCACUGGAGGUUGUAUAUAGUCCAUUCUCACACUGCUAUGAAGAAAUACCCAAGACUGGGUAAUUUAUAAAGGAAAGAGGUUUAAUUGACCCACACUUCCACAUUGCUGGGGGGCCUCAGGAAACUUACAGUCAUGACAGAAGGCAAAGGAGAAGCAGGCACCUUCUUCACAGGGCAGCAGGAUGGAGUGAGUGCAAGCAGGGGAAAUGCCAGAUUCUUAUAAAACCACCAGAUUGGCCGGGUGCGGUGGCUCACGCCUGUAAUCCCAGCACUUUGGGAGGCCGAGGCAGGCGGAUCACGAGGUCAAGAGAUCAAGACCAUCCUGACCCACAUAGUGAAACCCCAUCUCUACUAAAAAUACAAAAAUUAGCUGGGUUUGGUGGUGCAAGUCUGUAGUCCCAGCUACUCAGGAGGCUGAGUCAUCAGAAUCGCUUGAACCCGGGAGGCGGAGGUUGCAGUGAGCCAAGAUCGCACCACUGCACUCUAGCCUGGUGACAGGGCAAGACUCCAUCUCAAAAAUAAAUAAAUAAAUAAAUAAAAAUAAGAUCUCACAAGAUUCACGUACCAUCAUUAGAACAGCAUGGGGGAACCACCCCCACGAUCCCAUUACCUCCACCUGGUCCUGCCUUUGACACGUGGGAAUUACAAUUCAAGAUGAGAUUUUGGGUGGGGACCACCGCCAAACCAUAUUAGGGGUGUUCCCAGUGUGUCACCAUUACUGAACAGGUUACUGUUAAUACUCUCCAUAGUAUGUUUUGAUAAACAGAUGUUCUUAUCUAAUGUAAUGAAAUUUAUCUCUUUGUACCUUACUUUUUGUCUUUAUUUUUUGUGCUUAUGAACUACAGUAAGGUCAUAAAGAUGUUCUCCUGUAUUUGCUUCUAAAAAUUGACAUCUGUCCUUCACAUGUAAGUCUGAAAUUCUCCCCAAACUGACUUUUUCUGUGCAGUGCAAAGUCCAUGUGGUUAUAUGUGAAUACCAUUUACUAGUUAGGGAUCAACAAACUAUAGCCUACAGGCAAAUGCAGGCCUUCAUCUGUUUUUGUUUUGUUUGUAAUAGACACUGGGUGUCACUAUGUUGCCCAGUUCAAAUAAUCCUCCUGCCUCUGCCUCCCAAAGUGCUGGGAUUAUAGGUGUGAACCACCAUGCCUGGUCUCCUUUGCCCGUUUUUGUACAGCCCAGUAGCUAAUAAUGGUUUCUGCAUUUUAAAUGGCUGAGAAAAACAAAAAGAAAGCUAAUAACUCAUGACCCAUGAAAAUUAUAUGAAAUUUAAAUCUCAAUGCACAUAAAGUUUUAUUAGAACAUAUCCAUGAUCAUUUGUUCACGUACAGUAUUGUCUAUAGCUGCUCUUACAAUACCACAGCAGAGGUGACUAACUACAACAGACACUGUGAACACCACGUAAGGCUGUCUAGCCCUUACCAAAAAAGUUUGCCAAUCCCUCAAUAGUUCAUCCUUUCCCCCCAUGAUCUGCAGUACUGUCUCUGUUGUAAAUUAGAGUUUCAUUUAUUUGUGGGUCUGUUUUGGAAAUUUGGCUCAAUCCAUUGGCCAAUUUAACUAUCUCUACACCAAAAAUACACUAUCUUGAUCACAAUAAUAAUUUAUAAUAAGCCUUAAUAAUAACACAAGUCUCCCUGCCUGAUGUUCCUUCUUUGUUAAUGAAAUAGCUAACCCUGCCUCUUUACUUUUCCAAAUACAUUUCAGAAUCUGGCUUCCAAUUCCAGGAAAGACCUUGUUGGGAUUUGGUUUGGAAUCACAUUGAAUCCAUAGGUGAGUUUUGAAAGAAACUGACAUACUUAUGCCAUUGAGGCUUCCUAUCCAUUAAUGAUAUAUCUCUCUCCAUUUAUGAGGUCUUCUUUAAUGUCCUUCAAUAUUUUCUCCAUAGAGGUCUCACUCAUUUGUUACCAUAAUCCUUGGUAAAACUCACCUACACGACCAUCCAGGCACACCAUUUCUUUGUAGAAAAAGUGUUAACUACUGAUUUAUCCUUUAAUGAGCAAAGGACUGCUUAGAUUUUUAAAUAUUUUCUUGGUUCAAUUUUGAUGACAUUUUUCUUGGAAUAUAUCAAUUCCAUCAAAAUUUUCCAAUUUUUUAUAAUUAUUUAUCAAUAUUUGUUUUUGCUGGUUUAAUCUCUGCAGCAUCUAUAGUUGUGGUCUCUUUUUUACUCCUAAAUCAUUUGCUGUGCCUUCUCUCUUUUAUAUGCUUGUUUUUCUUCAUUUAUUUUUGCUCAUAUCUUUGUAUUGUCUUCCCCUUUUUCUGUCUUCUUAAAUUGGAUAAUUAACUCCUUAACUUGCACCUCUCCUUCCUUUCUUUCUUUUUCUCUUCUUCUUUUGCUUUCUUUCUCUUUUUCUUUUCUUUUCUCCAGGCUAGUAUUGAAUUCCUAGCCUCAAGCAGACACCACUGUACCGAUUUUAUUUAUAUUUUAUCUGUUUUUAUAUUUUGAAUGUAUCAGCUGUAAACUGUAUUCCCUGGAUUUGUUUUUUAAUCCAGUGUAAUGUUUGCCUUUUACUUUGCAAAUUUAGUCCACUUAGGAUUACUUAUAUAUUUGG